GGGGACGAAAAAAAGGAAAAGGAGAAAAAUCAACUCACAGGAAGAAGACGAUCUUCAAUUCUGCUUUCAUCUUUCAUCCUCUUCGGAAUACAGAUUACGUUUCGCUUCGUUCAUCGAAUUCGCUUCUCGCCGAUCACCGUUUCUCGCCGUCGUCUUAAAGGUUCGAGCGGCGGUUGAUUCCGGCAAAAAUGUCGAUUAACAUGAGAACGCUAACCCAAGCUCUAGCCAAAACCGCCGCGGUGAUUGAGAAGACGGUCCAAACCACAGUCCAGGAGGUUACAGGUCCCAAGCCUCUUCAGGACUACGAGCUUCUCUAUCAGAUCGGUUCCGGUGGUCCUGGCCUCGCCUGGAAGCUCUACUCGGCCAAGGCGCGUGACUCCACGCGGCCUCAGCAGUACCCAACCGUCUGCGUCUGGGUGCUUGACAAGCGCGCCUUAUCUGAGGCUCGCGCCAGAGCGGGAUUGUCCAAAGCUGCAGAAGACUCGUUUCUCGAUCUGAUUCGCGCUGACGCGGGGAAGCUGGUGCGGUUGAGACACCCCGGUGUGGUCCACGUGGUUCAAGCGCUUGAUGAGAACAAGAAUGCUAUGGCUAUGGUUACGGAACCACUAUUCGCCUCAGUGGCUAACGCGCUUGGUGAUGUUGAGAAUGUGGAUAACGUGCCGAAAGAUCUCAAGUCCAUGGAGAUGAGCUUGUUGGAGGUGAAGCACGGUCUACUUCAAAUGGCAGAGACGUUGAACUUUCUUCAUAAUAACGCGCAUCUCAUACAUCGUGCUGUUUCUCCUGAGAAUGUUCUUAUUACUUCGGCUGGUUCCUGGAAGUUUGCUGGAUUUGGCUUUGCUAUUUCAGAAGCACAAGCUGGGAAUUUGGAUAACAUGCAAUCAUUCCACUACGCUGAAUAUGAUGUUGAAGACUCGAUUUUGCCACUCCAACCAUCUUUAAACUAUACUGCACCUGAAUUGGUGCGGAGCAAAACUCCAUCAGCUGGAGCUUCUUCUGAUAUUUUUAGUUUCGGAUGCCUCGCCUAUCAUUUAGUUGCACGGAAACCAUUGUUUGAUUGCCACAACAAUGUCAAGAUGUACAUGAACACAUUGAACUAUUUAACCAACGAAACUUUCUCAUCUAUACCCUCGGACUUGGUAUCUGAUUUGCAACGGAUGCUAUCAACGAACGAGUCCUUUAGACCAACAGCAUUAGAUUUCACAGGAUCUAAUUUUUUCAGAAGCGACACUAGGUUACGUGCCCUCCGUUUCCUUGAUCAUAUGCUUGAACGAGACAACAUGCAAAAGUCUGAGUUCUUAAAAGCACUAUCAGAUAUGUGGAAAGAUUUUGAUUCCCGUGUAUUACGGUAUAAGGUGCUUCCACCUCUUUGUGCUGAACUUAGGAAUUUGGUUAUGCAGCCAGUGAUUCUUCCUAUGGUUCUAACUAUCGCAGAGUCUCAGGACAAGAAUGACUUUGAGUUGACAACGCUCCCAGCUCUUGUUCCUGUUUUGAGUUCUGCUACGGGUGAUACUCUGUUGUUGCUUGUAAAGCGUGCAGAUCUUAUAAUUAACAAGACUAAUACAGAGCAUCUUGCAUCGCAUAUUCUCCCUUUGCUUCUCCGAGCCUACAAUGACAACGAUGUCCGGAUACAAGAGGAAGUUCUGAAAAGAUCUACAUCUGUUGCCAAACAACUUGAUGGCCAGGUGGUAAGGCAAGCAAUUUUGCCUCGUGUUCAUGGCUUGGCUCUCAAAACCACAGUUGCUGCUGUCAGAGUAAAUGCUUUGCUCUGCUUAGCAGAGUUGGUUCAAGCGCUUGAUAAACACGCUGUUACUGAAAUUUUGCAAACAAUUCAGCGCUGUACUGCUGUCGAUCGUUCUGCACCUACGCUUAUGUGUACUCUUGCAGUCGCAAACGCAAUUCUCAAGCAGUAUGGAGUUGAAUUCACUGCUGAACACGUGCUUCCCCUGAUUAUACCGCUUCUCACUGCCCAACAAUUGAACGUCCAACAGUUUGCUAAAUAUAUGCUAUUUGUGAAGGAUAUUCUCAGGAAAAUAGAGGAGAAAAGAGGAGUUACAGUCAACGAUUCUGGAGUUCCAGAAGUUAAACCAGGCUCUGUUGCAGAUGGGAUCCAGUUUCCAACACCAACCCAAAAAAUUGAGGUGGUGGCUUCUGCAGCAAAGAACAGUCCUGCAUGGGAUGAAGAUUGGACCCUCCCCACCAAAAGUUCUGUUUCGAGAGAUCCGGCACCCGCAAACUCCCAGUUUAACAAUUCAACAGUUCAGUCACAGCCAUCGAACAGGACAGCAGUGCCAACAACAUGCCCUCCUGUUGAUAUAGAGUGGCCACCAAGACAACCUUCCAAUGUCACUUCUUCUCAGUCAGCCAAUGAUGAAGCACGGCUAAACUCAGGAGGAACAUCAUCAACUCCAAGUUUUGAUGAACUAGACCCUUUUGCUAAUUGGCCACCACGAGCUAACAGUGCGUCCAUUGCUUCUGGGGGUUUCCACAACGGUACCGCCGCCACUCGACCCCCACCGAACAACAGUGGUUCUAGUUUGAGCAACAAUAUAACAGGCAUGAAGCAGUUUCCAACAGCUAACAACGACUUCUGGGCCUUUGGCAAUGCCUCCGUCUCUUCUCAAGGGGGUUCCGGUAUCAGUGCAGGUAACCAAGAUCCUAUGAACUCUUUUGGGAUUCAAAAUCAGAACCAAGGAAUGCCGUCGUCUUUCGGAAGCAGUUCAUACAGUAACCAAAAGCCGCCAGCAGACAUCAGUUCCAUAUUCAAGUCAAGCAAAACUGAGCAAGCUGCAAUGAGACUCGCACCACCACCUUCGACAGCCGUGGGAAGAGGAAGGGGAAGGGGUAGAACUGGGACAUCUACGUCAAGGUCAAGUGGUUCGAAGCAGCAACAAACUGAGCAGGCAUCGCUGUUGGAUCUGUUGUGAUGAAAUCGUUGGUUGAGACAACAUUGGGUUUGGUCAAAAACAUUUUCAGUGAGUGAGUUGGUCAUUUGUUUUGUUAAUUCUCCAGGCUACAUUCAACCAUCUAUUAUUAUACAUCACAGCCACAGAUCGCCUAUUUCCGGUCUCCUUGCCGCCGUUCACUCUCACUCGCCGUUCAAUUUCGAGAGUGGUUGGUCUAAGACCCUGCGCGCGAAAAGCAGUAACGAGUAAGGUUAUUCAAGUAUAAACAUGAAUGGUACGUCCUGAUUAAUGGAACUAUUUAGAAAGCCCAGCUUCGGCUCUUGUCUAGUUAAGGAUGAUAUCAGAAAGACACAGAAGCAACGAAUUUUAUUUAUGUUGUGAAUUAAUAUUCUUCAAGAUUCCAAAGAAUUCCCGAAUAUCUGAUUGUAGGUUUGAUUAAAUAAUGGGUUGGUAAAUUAC